rnacentral:rRNA from 1 species
UUGCUCUUCAACGAGGAAUGCCUAGUAAGCGCGUGUCAUCAGCAUGCGUUGAUUACGUCCCUGCCCUUUGUACACACCGCCCGUCGCUACUACCGAUUGAAUGGCUCAGUGAGGCCUUCGGACUGGCUCGGGGAGGUUGGCAACGACCACCCCGAGCCGGAAAGUUCGUCAAACUCGGUCAUUUAGAGGAAGUAAAAGUCGUAACAAGGUUUCCGUAGGUGAACCUGCGGAAGGAUCAUUAUCAAUUUACAGCGGACUUCGGUCCUGUCUGCACCCUUGUCUUUUGCGUACUGUAUGUUUCCUUGGUAGGCUUGCCUACCAAUAGGACAUCAUAAACUCUUUUGUAAUUGCAAUCAGCGUCAGAAAACUAUAAUAGUUACAACUUUCAACAACGGAUCUCUUGGUUCUGGCAUCGAUGAAGAACGCAGCGAAAUGCGAAAAGUAGUGUGAAUUGCAGAAUUCAGUGAAUCAUCGAAUCUUUGAACGCACAUUGCGCCCCUUGGUAUUCCAUGGGGCAUGCCUGUUCGAGCGUCAUUUGUACCCUCAAGCUCUGCUUGGUGUUGGGUGUUUGUCCCGCUUAUACGCGUGGACUCGCCUUAAAGCAAUUGGCAGCCGGCAUACUAGCCUGGGAGCGCAGCACAUUUUGCGUUUCUUGCUUUGAAUGUCGACGUCCAUCAAGUCAAACAUUUUGCUCUUGACCUCGGAUCAGGUAGAGAUACCCGCUGAACUUAAGCAUAUCAAUAAGCGGAGGA